GCGCCAUAAAUCAAAUAGUCUGAAUUUUCCAGGCCUACAGCUGAAGCACCAACUUUUCUCAGCACCACUCACACACACCACAUUAAUCUCAUAAGCAUUCACUGCAUUGGCAGAAGAAACACGUGGAUCCGAAUCCUGAGGCUUCCUGCCCUGACCAAUGGUGGUCACAUGAAAACAUUUGACACCAAGUCUGGGAAACUCCUUCCGGUCAGGUUAGGUUUCUGGUGCUUUAGGCAGGAGCAGAGACUCUGCAGAGGUGGAGGUCGCUGGCUUAGGAGAGGAGGUACAUGUAUCUGUUGAAAGGGGAAUUGCUAGGGGCUCAUUACUCCAUCCGCCCAUUGAAUGAAGGACUCUUUCUUUCAGGAUAGCAUCUCCUGAGGUUUUCUCUGAAGAGCAUUGUUUCUAUGGUCUGCUAGUGACUUAGACUGGAAAGGAAGUUGGAAGGAGAGAAAAGAAAAAAAAAAAAGCAUUCCUUCAUCAAAUAAUUCUGGGAAAUCUUGGCAAAAACAAUGUUAAGAAUUAUUUUUUCAACAUUUUUUUUUAACUGCAGAAUUUCUCGGCACCUUUAAGAGACUAAUGUGCAUUUUGACUGUGUGAAAGAUAAAUUUGGUAUCUUGUAAUUAACAUGCUCUUUUGACAACAGGAUGUUUUUCUCCCUCUAUCAACAUCCCAGGAAACAAGGUUCUGUACCACACUUUGGGGAAAAGAACUUGCAAAGAGGAAGAGAGGACAGAUUCUGGGCCUUUAAGCAAAGUUUUCACACAGGUUGAAGUAAUUCCAGGUGGUUCAAGGCAAGUCAGGAGAUCGUCAUUGGGUAGCCAGUCCAGGGGUCACCUCCUUCCUGUAAGCAGCUCAGUUCAUGAACUCGCCCACACCAGGCUCGAGUCCCUGCUGCUCUAUCCAGGGUAGACUGUGUAGCCCCAAGGAUCCUGGCUUCACCUGUGAGAGGACCAGCCAGCAGCCAAGACCAUCCGUCCUGCUCCUGGUCCCUGUUUCAGACUCCUAGAAGAUAGAAUCUGAUCCCUUCAGCUUGAGUCUGCCUUCUACUCAUCAGCUCUGAGUGGUGGGGCCUAGCCUCCGCUCACUCCAGUGUUCUUGCCUGGAGAGUCCCAGGGACGGGGGAGCCUGGUGGGCUGACGUCUAUGGAGUCGCACAGAGUCGGACACGACUGAAGUGAUACAGCAGCAGCAGCAGCAGCAGCAGCCUCCUCUCUCAAUAGUCCUGCCAUUCUUGUCUUGGAGUAUGGGUCCACAGGGAGUCUCCAAUUGCUUUACCCUAGAGGCAGAGCCCAUCUACCUCCUGCCUCCAAGUGUAUGUAUGUAUAGUUGUGAGUUACCCAUAUUUUAUCUUCCUUUCCUAUAAAACAGUCCUUAAAAGCUCAAAGAAAAUUAUGUUUGUGUUUCUUCCAUUUACUUUGCCUUUUCAAAUAAAGGUGUCUGGAAGCAUA